rnacentral:rRNA from 1 species
GACAGAGGUGCCAAGCGUUAGGCGGAAUCACUGGGCUUAAAGCGUGUGUAGGUGGACUGGUAAGUACCUUGUGAAAUCCCACGGCUUAACCGUGGAACUGCUGGGUAUACUGCUGGUCUUGAGCCAUCUAGGGGUUGCCGGAACAAACGGUGGAGCGGUGAAAUGCGUAGAUAUCGUUUGGAACGCCAAUGGUGAAAACAGGCAACUAGGGAUGUGCUGACACUGAGACACGAAAGCCAGGGGAGCGAACGGGAUUAGAUACCCCGGUAGUCCUGGCCGUAAACGAUGUCCACUAGAUCGUGGCACCUCUGACGGUGUCAUGGUCGAAGCAAAAGUGCUAAGUGGACCGCCUGGGAAGUACGGUCGCAAGGCUAAA